GACGAACGCUGGCGGCGUGCCUAAUACAUGCAAGUAGAACGCUGAAGGAGGAGCUUGCUUCUCUGGAUGAGUUGCGAACGGGUGAGUAACGCGUAGGUAACCUGCCUGGUAGCGGGGGAUAACUAUUGGAAACGAUAGCUAAUACCGCAUAAUAGUAGAUGUUGCAUGACAUUUGCUUAAAAGGUGCAAUUGCAUCACUACCAGAUGGACCUGCGUUGUAUUAGCUAGUUGGUGGGGUAACGGCUCACCAAGGCGACGAUACAUAGCCGACCUGAGAGGGUGAUCGGCCACACUGGGACUGAGACACGGCCCAGACUCCUACGGGAGGCAGCAGUGGGGAAUCUUCGGCAAUGGACGGAAGUCUGACCGAGCAACGCCGCGUGAGUGAAGAAGGGUUUCGGAUCGUAAAGCUCUGUUGUAAGAGAAGAACGAGUGUGAGAGUGGAAAGUUCACACUGUGACGGUAGCUUACCAGAAAGAGACGGCUAACUACGUG
rnacentral:rRNA from 1 species